rnacentral:rRNA from 1 species
AUUGAACGCUGGCGGCAUGCCUAACACAUGCAAGUCGAACGGUAACAGGUCCCGUAGCAAUACGGGAUGCUGACGAGUGGCGGACGGGUGAGUAAUGCGUAGGAAUUUACCUCAAAGCGGGGGAUAGCCAGGAGAAAUCCGGAUUAAUACCGCAUGUGCUCUACGGAGGAAAGCGGGCCUCUACUUGUAAGCUCGCACUUUGAGAUAAGCCUACGUCGGAUUAGCUAGUUGGUAGGGUAAAGGCCUACCAAGGCGACGAUCCGUAGCUGGUUUGAGAGGAUGAUCAGCCACACUGGGACUGAGACACGGCCCAGACUCCUACGGGAGGCAGCAGUGGGGAAUAUUGGACAAUGGGCGAAAGCCUGAUCCAGCAAUGCCGCGUGUGUGAAGAAGGCCUGCGGGUUGUAAAGCACUUUUAUCAGGAAAGAAAAUCUCGGGGCUAAUAUCCCCGGGCCUUGACGGUACCUGAUGAAUAAGCACCGGCUAACUCCGUGCCAGCCGCCGCAGUAA